rnacentral:rRNA from 1 species
GUCCACACUGUAAACGAUGAUUGCUAGGUGUGGGGGUCUGACCCCUUCCGUGCCGGAGUUAACGCAAUAAGCAAUCCACCUGGGGAGUACGGCCGCAAGGUUGAAACUCAAAGGAAUUGACGGGGGCCCGCACAAGCAGUGGAUUAUGUGGUUUAAUUCGACGCAACGCGAAGAACCUUACCAGGUCUUGACAUCCAACGAAUCCUUAAGAGAUUAGGGAGUGCCUUUCGGGGAACGUUGAGACAGGUGGUGCAUGGUUGUCGU